rnacentral:lncRNA from 1 species
UUCGGGGCAGGCGCCCGAUCCCAAUUCCACAGUGCCUUCCGUGAACACUGCACACAGCAGCUCAUCUAAAUCCAGAAGUAGGUUGGGUGUCUCGUCUCCUCACAGCUUUUGCCAAGCAGUGACUGUGGAAUCUGGGCCUGUUCCAUGCUGAGGCUCCACCACCUGGAUAUCCAGCCACCCGGCUUCCAAAGUGGUAGUGGAAGAGGAAGAGAGCUGGGAAGUGCAUGGAAGUUUGUUUUUAUGGCCUAUUCUAGAGGUGGUGUACAUUCUUUUCACAACAUCUUAUUGGCCAGGAUUUAGUCACAUGGUCCCCACACAACUUUAAGGAGGCUGGGAAUGUUGCCCUCCUGGGUAUCCAGGAAGAGGGGUUAGAUGGGGUGAACAUUACCUGUAUUAGUCCGUUCUCAUGCUGCUAUAAAGAACAGGCUGAGACUGAGUAAUUUAUAAAAGAAAGAGGUUUAAUUGACUCACAGUUCUGCAUGUCUGGGGAGCCCUCAGGAAACUUACAUUCAUGUUGGAAGGACAAGUAAACAUGUCCUUCUUCACAUGGUGGCAGGAGAGAGAAGUGCCAGCAGGAGAAAUGCCAGAUGCUUAUAAAACCAUCAGAUUUCAUGAGAACUCAUUCACUAUCAUGAGAACAGCAUGGGGAAAGCUGCCCCCAUGAUUCAAUUACCCCACUCCAUGUCCCUCCCACAACAUGUGGGUAUUAUGGGAACUACAAUUCAAGAUGAAAUGUGAGUAGGGAUGCAGCCAAACAUAUCAUUCUGCCCAUGGACCCUCCCAAAUCUCAUGUCCUCACAUUUUAAAACACAACCAUGCCUUCCCAACAGUCCCUCAAAGUCUUAACUUAUUCCAGCAUUAACCCAAAAGUCCAAGUCCAAAGUUUCAUCUGAGACAAGGCAAGUGCCUUCCACCUAUUAGCCUGUAAAAUCAAAAGCAAGUUAGUUUCUUCCUAGACACAAUGCAGGUACAGGCAUUGGGUAAAUACACCCAUCCCAAAUGGGAGAAACUGGGUAAAACAAAGGGCCCUAUGCAUGUCCAAAAUCCAACAAGGCAGUAACUAAAUCUUAAAGCUCCAAAAUAAUUUCCUUUGACUCCAUGUCUCACAUCCAGGUCACAAUGUUGCAAGACGUUAAGUUCCCAUGGCCUUGGGCAGCUCCACCCCUGUGGUUUUGCAGCGUAUAGCCCCUCUCCUGGCUGCUUUCACAAGCCAGUGUUGAGUGUCUGUGGCUUUUCCAGGUGCACAGUGCAAGCUGUUGGUGGAUCUACCAUUCUGGGAUCUGGAGGACAAUGAUUCUCUUCUCACAGCUCAACUAGGCAGUGCCCCAGUGGGGACUCUGUGUGGGGGCUCUGACCCCACAUUUCCCUUCCACACUACCUUAGGAGAGGUUCUUCACAAGGGCUCCACCCUGGCAACAAACUUCUGCAUUGACAUCCAGGCAUUUCCAUACAUCCUCUGAAAUCUAGGUGGAGGUUCCCAAACCUAAAUUCUUGACUUCUGUGCACCCAGAAGCCCAAUCCUAUAAGUAAGCCACCAAGAUUUGGGGCUUUCACCCUCUGAAGCAAUGGCCUGAGCUUCACAUGUUGGCCCCAUUAACCACAGCUGGG